rnacentral:rRNA from 1 species
GACGAACGCUGGCGGCGUGCUUAACACAUGCAAGUCGAGGGGGCGGCGCAAGCCGUCACCGGCGAACGGGUGCGUAACACGUGAGCGACCUGCCCAACUGCGGGGGAGUAGCCGGCCCAACGGCCGGGUAAUACCGCAUACGACGCUGGGCCCGCAUGGGUCGAGCGUGAAACCGAUUGAGGGCGGUUGGAGGGGCUCGCGGCCUAUCAGCUAGUUGGUGCGGUCACGGCGCACCAAGGCGAUGACGGGUAGCUGGUCUGAGAGGAUGGCCAGCCACAUUGGGACUGAGAGACGGGCCCAGACUCCUACGGGAGGCAGCAGUGGGGAAUCUUGCGCAAUGGCCGAAAGGCUGACGCAGCGACGCCGCGUGAGGGAUGAAGGUCUUCGGANCGUAAACCUCUGUUGCCCGGGACGAACANCCCUUUUCGAGGGGCCGUGACGGUACCGGGUGAGGAGGCACCGGCUAACUCUGUGCCAGCCGCCGCC